rnacentral:rRNA from 1 species
GUCGAGCGAAUGAAUGUUGGAGCUUGCUCCUUCAUUCGUUAGCGGCGGAUGGGUGAGUAACACGUGGGCAACCUGCCCUGCAGAUGGGGAUAACUCCGGGAAACCGGAGCUAAUACCGAAUAAUUAGUACGUUCGCAUGAAUGUACUCUAAAAGACGGUUUCGGCUGUCACUGCAGGAUGGGCCCGCGGCGCAUUAGCUAGUUGGUGGGAUAAUGGCCUACCAAGGCAACGAUGCGUAGCCGACCUGAGAGGGUGAUCGGCCACACUGGGACUGAGACACGGCCCAGACUCCUACGGGAGGCAGCAGUAGGGAAUCUUCCACAAUGGACGAAAGUCUGAUGGAGCAAUGCCGCGUGAGUGAAGAAGGUUUUCGGAUCGUAAAGCUCUGUUGUGAGGGAAGAACAAGUACGGGAGUAACUGUCCGUACCUUGACGGUACCUCAUUAGAAAGCCACGGCUAACUACGUGCCAGCAGCCGCGGUAAUACGUAGGUGGCAAGCGUUGUCCGGAAUUAUUGGGCGUAAAGCGCGCGCAGGCGGCCUUUUAAGUCUGAUGUGAAAGCCCCCGGCUCAACCGGGGAAGGUCAUUGGAAACUGAAGGGCUUGAGUACAGAAGAGGAAAGCGGAAUUCCACGUGUAGCGGUGAAAUGCGUAGAGAUGUGGAGGAACACCAGUGGCGAA